GACGAACGCUGGCGGCGUGCUUAACACAUGCAAGUCGAACGGAAAGGCCCUGCUUUUGUGGGGUGCUCGAGUGGCGAACGGGUGAGUAACACGUGAGUAACCUGCCCUUGACUUUGGGAUAACUUCAGGAAACUGGGGCUAAUACCGGAUAGGAGCUCCUGCUGCAUGGUGGGGGUUGGAAAGUUUCGGCGGUUGGGGAUGGACUCGCGGCUUAUCAGCUUGUUGGUGGGGUAGUGGCUUACCAAGGCUUUGACGGGUAGCCGGCCUGAGAGGGUGACCGGCCACACUGGGCCUGAGAUACGGCCCAGACUCCUACGGGAGGCAGCAGUGGGGAAUAUUGCACAAUGGGCGGAAGCCUGAUGCAGCAACGCCGCGUGCGGGAUGACGGCCUUCGGGUUGUAAACCGCUUUCGCCUGUGACGAAGCGUGAGUGACGGUAAUGGGUAAAGAAGCACCGGCUAACUACGUG
rnacentral:rRNA from 1 species